GACGAACGCUGGCGGCGUGCCUAAUACAUGCAAGUAGAACGCUGAAGGAGGAGCUUGCUUCUCCGGAUGAGUUGCGAACGGGUGAGUAACGCGUAGGUAACCUGCCUGGUAGCGGGGGAUAACUAUUGGAAACGAUAGCUAAUACCGCAUAACAGUAGAUGUUGCAUGACAUUUGCUUAAAAGGUGCAAUUGCAUCACUACCAGAUGGACCUGCGUUGUAUUAGCUAGUUGGUGAGGUAACGGCUCACCAAGGCGACGAUACAUAGCCGACCUGAGAGGGUGAUCGGCCACACUGGGACUGAGACACGGCCCAGACUCCUACGGGAGGCAGCAGUAGGGAAUCUUCGGCAAUGGACGGAAGUCUGACCGAGCAACGCCGCGUGAGUGAAGAAGGUUUUCGGAUCGUAAAGCUCUGUUGUAAGAGAAGAACGAGUGUGAGAGUGGAAAGUUCACACUGUGACGGUAUAUUACCAGAAAGGGACGGCUAACUACGUG
rnacentral:rRNA from 1 species